CCUACGGGAGGCAGCAGUGGGGAAUAUUGCACAAUGGGCGAAAGCCUGAUGCAGCAACGCCGCGUGCGGGAUGAAGGCCCUAGGGUUGUAAACCGCUUUCAGCAGGGAAGAAAAUGACGGUACCUGUAGAAGAAGGUGCGGCCAACUACGUGCCAGCAGCCGCGGUGACACGUAGGCACCAAGCGUUGUCCGGAUUUAUUGGGCGUAAAGAGCUCGUAGGCGGUUCAGUAAGUCGGGUGUGAAAACUCUGGGCUCAACCCAGAGACGCCACCCGAUACUGCUGUGACUAGAGUGCGGUAGGGGAGCGGGGAAUUCCUAGUGUAGCGGUGAAAUGCGCAGAUAUUAGGAGGAACACCAGUGGCGAAGGCGCCGCUCUGGGCCGUAACUGACGCUGAGGAGCGAAAGCGUGGGUAGCAAGCAGGAUUAGAUACCCUGGUAGUCCACGCCGUAAACGUUGGGCACUAGGUGUGGGUCUCAACCAACGAGAUCCGCGCCGUCGCUAACGCAUUAAGUGCCCCGCCUGGGGAGUACGGUCGCAAGACUAAAACUCAAAGGAAUUGACGG
rnacentral:rRNA from 1 species